rfam:Pteropus alecto contig92261, whole genome shotgun sequence.
UUGAGAAACAGUAGCCAGCCACAUAUUUUUCUGUCCCAGGCAAAAUUUCUAGUUCUUUACUCUUUUUUUUUUGUUCCAUCUACAUGUCCUUCUAAGCUAAGUUUAUUUCAUCAAUUAUUUUGCCUCUGAAAGCCCUGGCAAAGUGAAAAUCUCACACCAAGGUGUUCAUCUUAGAAGCUCACAAAC